rnacentral:lncRNA from 1 species
ACUCUGUGAGCCAACCAUACCCCUGGUGACAGAGAUGACCCAUAGGAGCGAAGAUGUUUCUGUUUAGGGACUUACAGACGUUUGGAUUUGAAACUGGGAGGAGUCUGAGGGAAGACUGUACAUCGUUAUUCCCUCCACUUCCGCAGCUAAACUUUUCCGAGCACCAGCGAGCCGCCCGAUUACUUAGCUGGGAGAACUUACCUGCUUUGUUUAGCAUGAGAUUUCCAAAGACGGGAAAUAAAAGUUUAUAUGAAUCUUUUUACAACCAUGGUUUUGGAGAAAAACUGUAACCUCCAGGGUGAUGGCCCAUCUUGCAGUGAAUAGUCCAUCGGAGGGCAAGCCAUCAGCUCCUGUGUUGCCAGGCACUGCCACGGAGGCUUAGCUCCGAAAGGGAGCAUUCUGGUAGGAGUGACCUUGAAUGUGACCUCUCCUGGGCAGGCCGCGUGGACGCUCUGGCCUUCCUCGCUGAACACCCCAUGGGGAUGGCAUGUCUAUGGGGGAUGGAGUCCCUGAUGGAACCUGCGGGAAUCCGUAAGACUCCAGGAAGAAGAUGCACUCUUGCCUUUGGGCUCUGACAAUAACCGUUGAGCGCAAGGUGGGAGGAGGAGGUGGCUCUCCCACAACCGCGCAAAUCCACCCGCCGAGGGGGUCAGGCUCCCCGGGAUGAACUUGCAAAGGACAGAGGAAUCGACGGGUUUUUAAAGGGAGCCAUCCUUUAUCCCACACUGAGGGGCACAUUCAGAUGGUUUUUCCACUGAGUUUGCCCAGGAUGAUGGGAUGAGAAGCCAGCAAGCUGAGCUGGCACAGCCGUCUUGCGAGGGGCGAUUGGCAGCCUGGCCUGGGAGCUGUGUGACCUGGUUUCUCUCUUCCCCUUUCAACUUCCUUUUCAAUGUUUCUGCUUCUUCACCUCAGAGCUGGAUGUGCCUCCCCCACCUUGCCUCCAGGGAUGACGUGGUCAGUGUUAAGGUGUGCCAAAGCUACUGGUCCAGGGCCACUCUUAGAAAACAGUAACCCGAAGCCUGCACAGGGCCCCAGCCAACACGAUCCCACUGGCAGAGCCCAAGGGGAGGCAGGAGCAUGGGCCAGAAAAUCUGCAGAGUUAAGAAAGUUCCAUCAAAGGGACCACGUGGAUUGGCCUCUCGCCCUGGAGACAAAUCUCAGCAACAAAUUCUCCAGGAGGACUUUCUCAUGGAUCCCUCUGGUUCAGACUUUACCCAUCUCAAAGGACCAGAGUCAAAUCACUCAUCUCUUCAGGAUAUUCUUCACCUGCCCUCCUGCUUGUUGCCACACUCUUCCUGGAGAAUUUCUCAGCUCAGGAGAACAGUUCCCUCUGGAUGAGCUAUUUGCUAAGAACGGUGUUGGGGGAAAGAUAGAUGGAGGAAUGAGAGCAGUAGCCUAACUCGGGAGUUGUUGGAAGGAUUUUCUCAACACUCCACAUCCCCCGAGCAAGGAUGGGAUCUGCUUACUGAUCUCGGUGGUCCGUAUCAUGGUAAGCAGGCCUGUGUGGAGCAAAGCCCUGAGGUGCCAGGGUACUUGGGGUAUCAGAGCAGCUGAUACUGAGCCGACUGCCAUGAAGAUUCCUUCUCCGACCCCUGCACUUUGAGGAAAGACUGGGCAUCUGGAUGGUUUUCUUCCGACCUGUCUCACCUGCGGUGCCAGGUAUGGAUGCUUCAGGCCAGGACCUACGGUUGGACGGGGAGGGUUGUUACCCUUUUAUGGAAAACUGUAGGCUAGAAAAGACCUGUGGGGCGGGGGUUGCAUAUGCUUUCUGGUGUCGUGUCUCAAUCUGACCCCGAGUUGGUUAUACUUGGCAGUUACUUUUGCAUUUUCAACGAAAACCGUUAUUUUCUUCUCUAAUGCUCAUUCUUUUUGCCGGUUUUAAGUUGGCCACGGGGGAGGAAAGCGAACUGGGACCAGAACUCUAAAACAAGUUUUUAUAAGCGAUUUACAUUUUAUUUUAUUUUUAAAUCCAAUUUACUUUAACACUUUCACAUGGCUGUAGGUUUGUUCUAUAUUAGUGCAUAUGAAAUUAAUGGUGCGAAUUACAGGAGACAAAGCAUACAGGGAAAGGUACCUAAAGCACGAAUUAAAAAUGUAGACCCAGACAUCAUUCCUUUUCCUCCCGCAUUAGAAUGUGGAUUCAGAAAACGAAAACAAAAUCCAUUUGGGAUUGCCUUAGAGCAACCAAACUGGGUAAAAACACACCCGGUCACGACUGUGCUCACAGUGUUCCACGCUGCUCAUAAAAACUGCCCUCCAGAGGUGGUGAUGAUGUCGUCGCGGAGGGAGGGACGCCGGUGGUGAGCAGAGUCCCCCCCCCACACGUAUGAAGUCAUCUGUAUUGCGUGGCAGGAUGAACAUCUGCCACAUAAACUCUGUGCUGACUGCAGCGUGUCACAAAAACAUUCUUUGUUUCUCUCUGACCCUUGCCCUCAUUUUGUUACACGCAGAUUGGCUCGCAAGACGAGACUUUUCCAAAGUAACUUCACGGAGGGCCUUGGACGUAAUUUCUUUGCAGGCGAAUGCUAAUAUAAUUCAGUGUCUUUGUCUCGGCUGUGUUGUUAAUCCAGCGUGAUUCAUAGUGGAUUGUGGGGGAGAGGUGCAGGCGGGGAGAGCAAUCAAGCCCACUGUCUACGCGCUUUCUCCUCCUCGGCUUAUCAGGCAUCUAAAUGCCAGCUUGGGAUCAGCCCACGCACCCGGAGAUUUUCUGGACUUUCGUUAGCAAAAUGGCCAGUUCCAAUGGAAGAACAAUGACGGUGACUCAACCCAGACUCAGCGCCUGGUUUAUAAAUUAAGAAACAGUUAUUCUGUCCACCGAGAAGGGAGAAGUAGUUUCUAUCUCAGAAACGAACUCUACACAUUUUAUAAAAGUUACGGUCGUGUUUUAUAAGGAGAUCGUUAUUUCCACUGAGUAUUUCAAACCCAUCAGCAAAACAGAUAAAAAGAAGGGAGGUUACGGCGGAGGACUCUUGCCACCCCUGGAUUCUGCAGUGGCCACAAACCAGUGUGGCACAGACCAGAGAUCUGAGCCACACGCUCUGGUUUCUUUCUCGGGCUCAGCCUCUGGUCAGGCUCCAUAGGUGACAAAACCUUUCCUCAUUUGAUUUCUGAAUCUCUUAUGUGGCGGGCUGAAGAGUGGCCCCCAAAGAUACCAGGUCCUGACCCUUGGAACCUGUAAAUGUGACCUUACAAAGAAAAAAGGGUCUUUGCACCAGUGAUUAAAUUUGGGAUCUUACCUGAUUAGAUUAUUCCAGAUUAUCUGAGUGGGUCUAGAGGCCAACACAUCCAUGCAUCCUUAUGAGAGAAAGGCACAAGGAGAAGAAUUCAAAGAGGCUGCAUGAUGCGAGGAGGGGCAGGCACAGGUGAGGAUGGUGUGGCCACAGCAAAGGAGUGUGGGCAGCAGCAGAAGUUGGUAGGGAAAGGAUUCUCUCCUAGAAGCUCCCAAGGAAGCACAGCCAUGCGGACACCUUCACUCCAGCCCAGAGAGAUGGAUGGUGAUGGCCCGGCCUCCAGAACUGUGUGAGAAUAACUUUCUGCUGUUUCAGGCUUCUGGGUCUGCUGUGAUUUGUUACAAUAGCAACAGGACACGAAUACUCCCUUAUUUCUGUGUAAAUAUGCUACAGUUUUAUUUUGUUCUCUCAUCACUUAAUUGGAUCACGGACACUGCAAAAAGUAAAGCAUAAAACUUGAAGCCAAUAUUUUCUAGAAUUUGACAAUCUUAUCAUU